AGUGAACGCUGGCGGCGUGCUCAACACAUGCAAGUCGAACGAGAACGGAUUAUAGCUUGCUAUAAUUGUCAGCUAAGUGGCGCACGGGUGAGUAAUGUAUAGGUAAUAUGCCUCUUACUAAGGGAUAACAAAUGGAAACGUUUGCUAAUACCUUAUACUCCUUAUUAACAUAAGUUAAUAAGGGAAAGAUUUAUUGGUAAGAGAUUAGCCUGUAUUGUAUCAGUUAGUUGGUGGGGUAAUGGCUUACCAAGACUAUGACACAUAACUGGUUUGAGAGGAUGAUCAGUCACACUGGAACUGAGACACGGUCCAGACUCCUACGGGAGGCAGCAGUGAGGAAUAUUGCACAAUGGACGAAAGUCUGAUGCAGCAACGCCGCGUGGAGGAUGACACAUUUCGGUGCGUAAACUCCUUUUAUAUGAGAAGAUAAUGACGGUAUUAUAUGAAUAAGCACCGGCUAACUCCGUGCCAGCCGCCGCAGUAA
rnacentral:rRNA from 1 species